rnacentral:rRNA from 1 species
AGUGAACGCUGGCGGUAGGCCUAACACAUGCAAGUCGAACGGCAGCACAGUAAGAGCUUGCUCUUACGGGUGGCGAGUGGCGGACGGGUGCGGAAUACAUCGGAAUCUACUUUUUCGUGGGGGAUAACGUAGGGAAACUUACGCUAAUACCGCAUACGACCUACGGGUGAAAGCAGGGGAUCUUCGGACCUUGCGCGAUUGAAUGAGCCGAUGUCGGAUUAGCUAGUUGGCGGGGUAAAGGCCCACCAAGGCGACGAUCCGUAGCUGUACUGAGAGGAUGAUCAGCACAACGGAAGCGAGGACACGGACCGACCUCCGACGGGAGGCACAGGUGGGAAUAUUGGACAAUGGGCGCAAGCCUGAUCCAGCCAUACCGCGUGGGUGAAGAAGGCCUUCGGGUUGUAAAGCCCUUUUGUUGGGAAAGAAAAGCAGCAGGUUAAUACCCCGCUGUUCUGACGGUACCCAAAGAAUAAGCACCGGCUAACUUCGUG